UCUCCGUUGGUGAACCAGCGGAGGGAUCAUUAUCGAGUUUAUAACUCCCAAACCCUAUUUGAACUUACCCCUUGUUGCUUCGGCGCGCGCUUCGGCGCCGCCGAGGACACUUAAACUCUUUGUUUUUAUAAGCAUUUCUGAGUGGCCGAAAGGAAAAAUACAAAUGAAUCAAAACUUUCAACAACGGAUCUCUUGGUUCUG
rnacentral:misc_RNA from 1 species